AAGUAACCAUCAAGCAAAGGGGGCAUCUGGGCGCUGUGCUAGGAGAUAUAGUAGCAACCAAGGAACAUUCCAGUAGGAAACAGACAGGAGGUCAACCUGCUAGGAAGAUGGGAGUCUGUGGAUAACCAUCUCGUCUGUCUGAAGCGUGAAGUCGAGACAUGCAAAGCCAAUAAACUGAGGAGACAGAACCUAGCAACAUCAUUCAAGACCUGGAUCCCACCAUCCCUGAAGCCAGUGAAUACCCUGUAUUCCAC
rnacentral:lncRNA from 1 species